CAACUACUCCCUCUGUCCCAAAUCUUUUGUCUUAGAUUUGUCUAGAUACGGAUGUAUCUAAUACUAAAAUGUGACUUGAUACAUCCGUAUCUAGACAAAUCUAAGACAAGAAUAUUGGGACGGAGGGAGUACUUU
rnacentral:pre_miRNA from 1 species